AUUGAACGCUGGUGGCAUGCUUAACACAUGCAAGUCGGACGGUAACGGGUCUGUAGCAAUACAGAUGCUGACGAGUGGCGGACGGGUGAGUAAUACAUAGGAACUUACCUUAUGGAGGGGGAUAGCUCAGGGAAACGUUGAGGUAAUACCGCGUAAGACCGAGAGGUGAAAGGGGGACGUGUUAAAGGACUCUCGCCAUAAGAUGGGCC
rnacentral:rRNA from 1 species